rnacentral:lncRNA from 1 species
UAGGUCAUAAUAGAAGAUGGAUAGAGGAUAGUUGAACUUUUCUCCCUCAGCAUAAUCCUAACUAGCUGAGAUGCCAUGAGCGUGCCGUGACCCUUAUACAAAACAAGGGGGUAUGCAGAAUGUACAUGAGAUUUACCUUCUCAGUGCCAACCUUUGCCUUUACCACUGGAUUUCACUUCUAAGCCCUGUAAAGACAGGCCUUCAGCAAGCGGGAUUGCCUGUAAUGAGCCUAUCCUUGCUUCAGAUUUGGGAAGAAUACGCUGCCUGCUGGGAAGCCAACAUCCUAAACCUGUUUUAUCCUUGGCGAAUGGGGUGCUCCUGCCCUGGAAACCCAACCCCAACCCAACCCAACUGCCUGGACAUUGGUGGCAGAGCAUAUAUUAAUUCUGAGGAGCUGAGAGACAUUUAAACUUUCUUUGGGCCAAAAUCUGUGGCAUUCAUGGAUACCUUGAAAAAAAAACAUCAGGCCUGAAAUCAACAGCCUCUACUGUCACCAUGAGGUCCUUUUGGCCCUGGGCCUUCAUUCCUCACAGGGGUAAGUUUUGAGAAAGUCCGAGGACUGGUGGAAUGGAUGGAUGCUAGCAGUAGGAGUGCUGGCCCAGGGAUGAGUCCGUUAUAGGCAUGUCUAAGUUGUAAGCUUGCGUUAUAUUAGCAGUUUGGUGAAGAGACCCUUGAGUUUGAAAAAGUCCCAUUUUAAAACACUGGAUCAUUAAUAUAAAGCUACACAUCAGUAGAUCCCCCCCAAAAGAAAUCUUGCUAAUUCUUUGACCCACGUUUGGCUUUCUUCAAAAGGUUAUACAAGGACCUCUGAAGAACAACCCCUACCACUACUUUUCCUCUGAAUUUCACUUCAGACACAACUGGCAAUGACUCUCAUGUGGCGUGAUGAUGCCAGCAUGAGUCAUUAACAGCCAAAGGGUGCCAGUAAUAGGAUCAUAUGUGGAACAGGACAUAACGAGGACCCCACCUGUGCAUUACUAUGAUCAGAAAAAUAAAGUCAGCCACCAGCAGAUCCUGGUGGUUGUG